UACAGAGGUGGCAAGCGUUGUUCGGAAUUACUGGGCGUAAAGGGCGCGUAGGCGGCCUUCUAAGUCAGACGUGAAAUCCCCCGGCUUAACCUGGGAACUGCGUCUGAUACUGGGAGGCUAGAGUGCGGGAGAGGGAUGCGGAAUUCCAGGUGUAGCGGUGAAAUGCGUAGAUAUCUGGAGGAAUACCGGUGGCGAAGGCGGCAUCCUGGACCAACACUGACACUGAAUCGCGAAAGCUAGGGGAGCAAACGGG
rnacentral:rRNA from 1 species